GUUGGUGAAGCUCAAUGGUAGAGCACUUGCCUUUGACUGCUAAGUGCCUGGGUUCAGUCCCCAGCAUCUCCA
rnacentral:tRNA from 1 species